rnacentral:rRNA from 1 species
GGGGGCCUACGGGAGGCAGCAGUGGGUACUAUUUCUCAAUUUUCGAAAGCCUGACGCAGCGACGCCGCGUGAGGGAUGAAGGGCUUCGGAUCGUAAACCUCUGUCAGCAGGGAAGAACGGUCACUGUGCUAAUCAGCAGUGAAUUGACGGUACCUGCAAAGGAAGCACCGGCUAACUCCGUGCCAGCAGCCGCGGUAAUACGGAGGGUGCGAGCGUUAAUCGGAAUUACUGGGCGUAAAGCGCUCGUAGGCGGUAUGUCAAGUCAAGGGUGAAAUCCCCGCGCUCAACGUGGGAACUGCCUUUGA